rnacentral:rRNA from 1 species
GCAAGUCGAACGCAGACAAGUUCAAUACUGGUUCUGAGUGGCGAAUGGGUGCGUAACACGUAGGUGACCUGCCCUGAAGUGGGGAAUAACAGUCCGAAAGGACUGCUAAUACCGCAUACGGUUCGAGGCGUUAGAAGGAACUUGAACCAAAGCUCGGUUUCGGGCGCUUUGGGAGGGGCCUGCGGCCCAUNAGGUAGUUGGUAGGGUAACGGCCUACCAAGCCAACGACGGGUAGGGGACCUGAGAGGGUGGCCCCCCACACUGGCACUGACACACGGGCCAGACUCCUACGGGAGGCAGCAGUCGGGAAUAUUGCCCAAUGGACGAAAGUCUGAGGCAGCAACGCCGCGUGCGCGAUGAAAGCCUUCGGGUCGUAAAGCGCUUUUCCGGGAGGAUGAGGAAGGACAGUACUCCCGGAAUAAAGUACGGCUAACUACCUUGCCAGCU